GGGCGGUUACCAGAGUGGCCAAAUGGGGCAGACUGUAAAUCUGUUGGUUUUCACCUUCGGAGGUUCGAAUCCUUCACCGCCCA
rnacentral:tRNA from 1 species